rnacentral:rRNA from 1 species
UACGAAGGGGGCUAGCGUUGUUCGGAAUCACUAGGGCGUAAAGCGCACGUAGGCGGGUUGUUAAGUCAGGGGUGAAAUCCUGGAGCUCAACUCCAGAACUGCCUUUGAUACUGGCAACCUAGAGACUGGAAGAGGUUAGUGGAAUUCCCAGUGUAGAGGUGAAAUUCGUAGAUAUUGGGAAGAACACCAGUGGCGAAGGCGGCUAACUGGUCCAGCACUGACGCUGAGGUGCGAAAGCGUGGGGAGCAAACAGG